rnacentral:lncRNA from 1 species
ACAUUUGACUGGGACUCCCCCAUGGAGAGAAGUCCUCCCAGGUCCUCUGCAAGGGGCAUCUGUUCCUUGGCUAUGGACAUGCCCUAAAGUGCCAGGUGGACGGAAGAGCUCCUGGGACCAGCAGGUUGGGAGCAUCAAUUCACGUUGGCUAGAAAUGUGACUUCUUUAGUAUUUACCAUUUUAACAAAAUCCAUGAUAAGGGAUUUGGAAGGUCCCAUGGAAAGGAUGAAAUGACACCUCUCUGCUACCCAGUUUCUUUAAGACCUCUACGGUUGAGAAGAGAGGACAAAGGAACACCCCCACCUCUGCCAUCCUCCGAGGGAUUUUUCACAGCAAUUCCAGUGCUGCUCAGUGGAAAGCUCUGCAAGUCAACUGCAAACCCCCAGCCCCAGAUGUUAGGCAUUUACAAACUUUGUUGCUGAUUUAUCAGCGCUCCUCUGCAAUUUUGGGGACAGGAGCAAACACAAGCUUAAGUCACCACGCAGGCUGCAACCCUUACCCAAAGAUGGGGGAAAAACUCCAAAGGAGAUGCAGGAGGGAGCCUCAGCAGUCACUGUGAGAGCACAAAGAGGCCAAGACCCAGGGUAGGCAAAGGAAGGUGAGAGGCACCA